GCUGAACGCUAGCUAUAGGCUUAACACAUGCAAGUCGAGGGACCGGCGCACGGGUGAGUAACGCGUAUCCAACCUACCCAUAACUAAGGGAUAACCCAGCGAAAGUUGGACUAAUACCUUAUGGUUAUGGCUGGGGAUGCGUCUGAUUAGCUUGUUGACGGGGUAACGUCCCACCAAGGCAACGAUCAGUAGGGGUUCUGAGAGGAAGGUCCACCGCAUGGGAACUGAGACACGGUCGAAACGCCGACGGGAGGAAGCAGUGAGGAAUAUUGGUGAAGGGACGCAAGUCUGAACCAGCCAAGUAGAGUGCAGGAGGACGGGCUAUGGGUUGUAAACUGCUUUUAUAUGGGGAUAGGUACCAUAUGAAUAAGGACCGGCUAAUUCCGUGCCAGCAGCCGCGGUAAUAC
rnacentral:rRNA from 1 species